rnacentral:tRNA from 1 species
AGUAAGGUGUGCUAAAAAUUCAAGCAAUCAGGCUCAUGACCUGGGUAUGUGGGUGAAAUUCCUACCCCUACAU